AACGAACGCUGGCGGCAUGCCUAACACAUGCAAGUCGAACGAGACCUUCGGGUCUAGUGGCGCACGGGUGCGUAACGCGUGGGAACCUGCCCUUAGGUUCGGAAUAACUCCCCGAAAGGGGUGCUAAUACCGGAUAAUGUCUUCGGACCAAAGAUUUAUCGCCUUUGGAUGGGCCCGCGUUGGAUUAGCUAGUUGGUAGGGUAAAAGCCUACCAAGGCGACGAUCCAUAGCUGGUCUGAGAGGAUGAUCAGCCACACUGGGACUGAGACACGGCCCAGAAUACUACGGGAGGCAGCAGUGGGGAAUAUUGGACAACGGGCGAAAGCCUGAUCCAGCACUGCCGCGUGAGUGAUGAAGGCCUUAGGGUUGUAAAGCUCUUUUACCCGGGAUGAUAAUGACAGUACCGGGAGAAUAAGCUCCGGCUAACUCCGUG
rnacentral:rRNA from 1 species